AAUUUUAUAUGGCUUUGGGUAACUUAGAGAACUUAGGUGGAUUUAGUUGUCUAGUUAAGUUUGGUAUUUUCUGUUCCUUUGAAAUCCAAUUUGAAAAGAAAUUGAUAUCCAUUCUUAUUGCUUCUGUCUAACCAAAAAUUAAAUUCGACAUACAUUUCCUGAUGUACCUGCUAUAGAAGGCACUUUGGGAGUGCACAGGAUCGAGUCAGACACAACCACUGCCCUUGUUGAGCCUAUGCAGUAAUUAUUAUUUUAAAUUAUUUUAGUGAAUUUGGGGGAAAAUGAGUAGGAGUAGGCUCUAGAACUAUUUUAAUAGACUUUAUUAACAAGAUUAGACCUAGAAAAAUGAUCGUCAAAAACUUUUCUUUGCCCUUGUAACACCUCACUUUAUCCAUUUUCUAAACCUUGGAUGAAUCUGAAAAAACAAAUAGCAGAAACAUUUUUGCUUAUUCAAAGUUACCCAAAUUAUCAGCUUUUAUUCUUUUAAAAAUAAUAACCAAGAGAUAACAUGGCGAGUGCCUUUAUAACGGCAUCUGGAAGUAAAGCAGAAUCUGCAACAUCUCUUGCUGCAGUUCCGCUCUUUUAGUGGUGAGGUUUUUGCAGCCCAGAGGCAAGUUUGUUUAUUGACGAGGAGAUGUGGGGAAGAAGUAGGGUGGAAGGAUCAUCUGGCUGCUAAUAAUGUCUUUGAUUUACCCCUUGAGC
rnacentral:lncRNA from 1 species